rnacentral:miRNA from 1 species
UGGGAAAGACAAACUCAGAGUU